UGUUUCGGCUAGGGGGCCAUCCCGGCUUACCAACCCGAUGCAAACUGCGAAUACCGGAGAAUGUUAUCACGGGAGACACACGGCGGGUGCUAACGUCCGUCGUGAAGAGGGAAACAACCCAGACCGCCAGCUAAGGUCCCAAAGUCAUGGUUAAGUGGGAAACGAUGUGGGAAGGCCCAGACAGCCAGGAUGUUGGCUUAGAAGCAGCCAUCAUUUAAAGAAAGCGUAAUAGCUCACUGGUCGAGUCGGCCUGCGCGGAAGAUGUAACGGGGCUAAACCAUGCACCGAAGCUGCGGCAGCGACGCUGAUGCGUUGUUGGGUAGGGGAGCGUUCUGUAAGCCUGCGAAGGUGGCCUGUGAGGGUUGCUGGAGGUAUCAGAAGUGCGAAUGCUGACAUAAGUAACGAUAAAGCGGGUGAAAAGCCCGCUCGCCGGAAGACCAAGGGUUCCUGUCCAACGUUAAUCGGGGCAGGGUGAGUCGACCCCUAAGGCGAGGCCGAAAGGCGUAGUCGAUGGGAAACGGGUUAAUAUUCCCGUACUUGGUGUUACUGCGAAGGGGGGACGGAGAAGGCUAUGUUGGCCGGGCGACGGUUGUCCCGGUUUAAGCGUGUAGGCUGGUUUUCCAGGCAAAUCCGGAAAAUCAAGGCUGAGGCGUGACGACGAGGCACUACGGUGCUGAAGCAACAAAUGCCCUGCUUCCAGGAAAAGCCUCUAAGCAUCAGGUAACACGAAAUCGUACCCCAAACCGACACAGGUGGUCAGGUAGAGAAUACCAAGGCGCUUGAGAGAACUCGGGUGAAGGAACUAGGCAAAAUGGUGCCGUAACUUCGGGAGAAGGCACGCUGACA
rnacentral:rRNA from 2 species